CCUCUUUUAAAAAGUUCUAAGUUGCUGGCUAAUCAGGACAAAUACAGAAUGUGAGGUGCAGGGAGCUGAAGGCCCCUGGGAAGUGACCAACUCAGCAUUUCGCUGGAGGCUAUAGGAUCAAACAGCAAACUGUUUAUCAUGAAUGCAGGAUGUGGGCAAACUCACACUGCCCUGCCACCAAAAGGUUUGUUGAGGGCCUCACUCCCUGGCGCUGGGCUCCUUGAAGUUAUCUAUUGAGAAGUCUAGCACCUAAGAAUGCAGUCUUGCAAGCCUGCUGCGAAUCAAGCUGCUGGCCAACAACCACUCCCCACCUUCUCACUAUCUCUAUUGCCUAAUAAAUAUGGAGGGCAGUGUAAAGCUCAGGGCCCUUGUCCACUAGAGACAAGGUGCCCUCCGACCCCUUCUUCCAAAUAUACUCUUUUGCCUCUUGUCUUUUAUUCCCGUGUUUGCCCCCUUUGUUCAGUCCCCCUAGGUCCAUGCAGGUUACAUAGUGGUGCCCCAAACAGUGACACAAUUGGGUUCUCAACAAGUGGUGACUCAGAACAGGGACGCCAAGGAUGCCAACAAGUGGCGUCUGAACACGGGACUUCGACGAUGUGAACAAAAAAGAUCUGCUGGAGCAGAGAAGCUGAAAUUGACAAGGCAAACGGGGACCCCAGGAUGAGUCUGCCGGCAGCAUAUAUAAGAUGGACAAACCCUGUGGGUGCCCUCAAGACAUGUGUGACCAUGGAAUGGGAGACUGGAGGAACCCAGGGUGGCCAACCAUGAGCCCGGUCCUUCUGGUACGAACCAUGAGACAGCUGAGCCUGAGUGUAAAGACAGACAGAAUGCCGGCCAGAGUCACAACACUGUUCUAAUGCUAUGUUUUCUGUAAAAUUGGAUGGACCACCAAUCAGAGAAUGAGAGCUACCCAGUCUGGCCUUACAUUCUUUCAAUUAAUACAUAAACAAAAAGUGGGAUAUGCAGGGAGCCGAAAGCCUGUGGGACAUGACCAACUUAGUAUUCUGCUGGAGGCUAUAUGAUCAAACGGCAAACUGUUUAUCAUGAAUGCAGGAUGUGGCCAAACUCACACUGCCCUGCUACCAAAACGUUUGCUGAGGGCCUCACUCCAUGGUGCCAGGCUCCUUGAAGUUAUCUAUUGAGAGAUCUAGCUCCUAUUGUUCUAAGAAUGCAGUCUUGCCAGCCUGCUGUGAAUAAAAUGCCAGCCAACAACCACUCCCCUCCUUCUUGCUAUCUCUAUUGCCUAAUAAAUACGGAGGGCUGUGUAAAGCUCAGGGCCCUUGUCCACUAGAGGCAAGGUGCCCUCUGACCCCUUCUUCCAAAUAUACUCUUUCAUCUCUUGUGUUUUAUUCCCACAUUUGCCCCCUUUGUUCAGUCCCCCUAGGUCCAUGUGGGUUACAGUGAGGUCCCAUUCCAGCCAAUGGAAACCAGACACAGCAGUAGGGUGGAUGCGUCAGGUUAUAAAUAACCCUGUCUCCUUUGUUCGGUGUACUCUUGUGGCAAAACUGCUGGUGAAUGUACCCUUUCUGUAGAGAAUAAAAAUGGCCUUGCUGAGAAAAUUAAAUGUAUGUUCAAGUGCUAUUUCUUUGUGGCACCAGGGAACAAGCAUUUCAAACAUGAGUGACAGUCAAGUCUCACUUUUAGUCAUGUUCUGCAUUAUGGGCUGAACUGUGUCCCCUGACAUUCAUAUGUUGAAGUCCUGACUUUCAGAAUGUGACUAUAUUUAGAGCUAGCACCUUUAAAGUGGU
rnacentral:lncRNA from 1 species